UACGGAGGGUGCGAGCGUUGUUCGGAAUUAUUAGGCGUAAAGCGCGUGUAGGCGGUUUGUUAAGUCUGAUGUGAAAGCCCCGGGCUCAACCUGGGAAGUGCAUUGGAUACUGGCAGACUUGAAUACGGGAGAGGGCAGUGGAAUUCCUGGUGUAGGAGUGAAAUCCGUAGAUAUCAGGGGGAACACCGGUGGCGAAGGCGGCUGCCUGGACCGAUAUUGACGCUGAGACGCGAAAGCGUGGGUAGCAAACAGG
rnacentral:rRNA from 1 species